CGGUUUGCAGCGCUCGCCCAUCACGUGCAGUAAAUGACUCAUUGGCUGAAGGCUCGGUACAAAUGGUAUUUAAGAAAGUGAGUCCCGACGAUCACCUGUGUGAGACUGUGGCGCCUCCUACGAGAUAUGGUGGUUAACAUGUUGACAACAAUGAUUUUACUCUUCAUACUUCUUUCUAUGGCCUCUUGUCUUGAAGCCGUGAACAAAGGAAGUGUCCCCAAAGCACAAGUCAUGCUACAGUUACAAGGCAUGGACUACUCGCUGUUCGGCUACAACAGUCUCAAGGGAUGCCCUCUGAC